rnacentral:rRNA from 1 species
ACGCUCGACACCUACGGAGGCAGCAGUGGGGGAUAUUGCACAAUGGAGGAAACCCUGAUGCAGCGACGCCGCGUGAGGGAAGACGGUUUUCGGAUUGUAAACCUCUGUCUUCAGGGACGAAAUGAAUGACGGUACCUGAGGAGGAAGCUCCGGCUAACUACGUGCCUAGCAGCCGCGGUAAUCUGAGGCGGGCUGGACGAAGGC